rnacentral:rRNA from 1 species
CGGAGGAAAAGAAACUAACAAGGAUUCCCCUAGUAACUGCGAGUGAAGCGGGAAAAGCUCAAAUUUAAAAUCUGGCGGUCCUUUGGCUGUCCGAGUUGUAAUCUAGAGAAGUGUUAUCCGCGCUGGACCGUGUACAAGUCUCCUGGAAUGGAGCAUCAUAGAGGGUGAGAAUCCCGUCUUUGACAUGGACUACCAGGGCUUUGUGAUGCGCUCUCAAAGAGUCGAGUUGUUUGGGAAUGCAGCUCAAAAUGGGUGGUAAAUUCCAUCUAAAGCUAAAUAUUGGCGAGAGACCGAUAGCGAACAAGUACCGUGAGGGAAAGAUGAAAAGAACUUUGGAAAGAGAGUUAAACAGUACGUGAAAUUGCUGAAAGGGAAACGCUUGAAGUCAGUCGCGUCAUCCGGGGAUCAACCUUGCUUUUGCUUGGUKCACUUUCUGGUUUGAUGGGUCAGCAUCAAUUUUGACCAUUGGAAAAAGGCCAAGGGAAUGUGGCAUCUUUGGAUGUGUUAUAGCCUUUGGUCGCAUACAAUGGUUGGGAUUGAGGAACUCAGCACGCCGCAAGGCCGGGUUUUAAACCACGUUCGUGCUUAGGAUGCUGGCAAUAUGGCUUUAAUCGACCCGUCUUGAAACACGGACCAAGGAGUCUAACAUGCCUGCGAGUGUUUGGGUGGAAAACCCGAGCGCGUAAUGAAAGUGAAAGGUUGAGAUCCCUGUCGUGGGGAGCAUCGACGCCCGGACCAGACCUUUUGUGACGGUUCCGCGGUAGAGCAUGUAUGUUGGGACCCGAAAGAUGGUGAACUAUGCCUGAAUAGGGUGAAUCCAGAGGAAACUCUGGUGGAGGCUCGUAGCGAUUCUGACGUGCAAAUCGAUCGUCAAAUUUGGGUAUAGGGGC